GAUGAACGCUGGCGGCGUGCCUAAUACAUGCAAGUCGAGCGAACGGACGAGAAGCUUGCUUCUCUGAUGUUAGCGGCGGACGGGUGAGUAACACGUGGAUAACCUACCUAUAAGACUGGGAUAACUUCGGGAAACCGGAGCUAAUACCGGAUAAUAUUUUGAACCGCAUGGUUCAAAAGUGAAAGACGGUCUUGCUGUCACUUAUAGAUGGAUCCGCGCUGCAUUAGCUAGUUGGUAAGGUAACGGCUUACCAAGGCAACGAUGCAUAGCCGACCGGAGAGGGUGAUCGGCCACCCUGGAACUGAGACACGGUCCAGACUCCUACGGGAGGCAGCAGUAGGGAAUCUUCCGCAAUGGGCGAAAGCCUGACGGAGCAACGCCGCGUGAGUGAUGAAGGUCUUCGGAUCGUAAAACUCUGUUAUUAGGGAAGAACAUAUGUGUAAGUAACUGUGCACAUCUUGACGGUACCUAAUCAGAAAGCCCCGGCUAACUACGUG
rnacentral:rRNA from 1 species